CUGAAUGAUAUGAAGAUGAAUAAACAAUCUACACAUUUCAUACAACUAGUGGUUUCAUUGUCCUAUGCUGGAAGAGUAUGAGUGGGCCAAAUCCUGACAUUAGGUAAAUGGGCUCUAUUAGCAGAAGUCUGAGUAGGAUGACUAGGCUUUCCUGGUGAUCCCCAAGGAACUUUUAUUUUCUUACAAUUCCUUUAAGGAUAGUGGUACACAUUGUUUUGGGGAAUAUUGCUAUCAGUAUUUGCUGUAGUGAAGGUUAAUCAUCUCUCAGACCAGGACCAUGGUAACAGGUAGGCAGUACCAAAUUUCAC
rnacentral:lncRNA from 1 species